AGAGUUUGAUCCUGGCUCAGAUUGAACGCUGGCGGAAUGCUUUACACAUGCAAGUCGAACGGCAGCACGGAGAGCUUGCUCUCUGGUGGCGAGUGGCGAACGGGUGAGUAAUAUAUCGGAACGUAUCCAAUAAUGGGGGAUAACGAGUCGAAAGAUUCGCUAAUACCGCAUACGCCCUACGGGGGAAAGCAGGGGAUCGUAAGACCUUGCGUUAAUGGAGCAGCCGAUAUCUGAUUAGCUUGUUGGUGAGGUAAAGGCUCACCAAGGCGACGAUCAGUAGCUGGUUUGAGAGAACGACCAGCCACACUGGAACUGAGACACGGUCCAGACUCCUACGGGAGGCAGCAGUGGGGAAUUUUGGACAAUGGGGGCAACCCUGAUCCAGCCAUUCCGCGUGAGUGAAGAAGGCCUUCGGGUUGUAAAGCUCUUUCGCAAGGGAAGAAAACUUAUGAUCGAAUAAAUCAUGAGGUUGACGGUACCUUGAUAAGAAGCACCGGCUAACUACGUGCCAGCAGCCGCGGUAAUACGUAGGGUGCGAGCGUUAAUCGGAAUUACUGGGCGUAAAGCGUGCGCAGGCGGUUUUGUAAGUCGGAUGUGAAAUCCCCGGGCUCAACCUGGGAACUGCGUUCGAAACUGCAAGGCUAGAGUGUGUCAGAGGGGGGUAGAAUUCCACGUGUAGCAGUGAAAUGCGUAGAGAUGUGGAGGAAUACCAAUGGCGAAGGCAGCCCCCUGGGAUAACACUGACGCUCAUGCACGAAAGCGUGGGGAGCAAACAGGAUUAGAUACCCUGGUAGUCCACGCCCUAAACGAUGUCAACUAGUUGUUGGUAGAGUAAAAUCUAUGAGUAACGUAGCUAACGCGUGAAGUUGACCGCCUGGGGAGUACGGUCGCAAGAUUAAAACUCAAAGGAAUUGACGG
rnacentral:rRNA from 1 species